AUGGAGUCAUGGCUGAGCUGGGUUUUUCUUGCCGCUAUUUUAAAAGGUGUCCAGUGUGAGGUGCAGCUGGUGGAGUCUGGGGGAGGCUUGGUACAGCCUGGGGGGUCCCUGAGACUCUCCUGUGCAGCCUCUGGAUUCACCUUCAGUUACUACUACAUGAGCGGGGUCCGCCAGGCUCCCGGGAAGGGGCUGGAAUGGGUAGGUUUCAUUAGAAACAAAGCUAAUGGUGGGACAACAGAAUAGACCACGUCUGUGAAAGGCAGAUUCACAAUCUCAAGAGAUGAUUCCAAAAGCAUCACCUAUCUGCAAAUGAAGAGCCUGAAAACCGAGGACACGGCCGUGUAUUACUGUUCCAGAGA